CUGGAGGCCAGGCAGCAACAUUGCCUGGCCAGAGGGCUGCUGAGAACAACCCGGAGAGGAUAAUUGUUACCAUAUGCCCUACAGGAAGACUUGUGUUGUUUCCAGAAUGAACAGAGCAACGUUCCCAACUUUAGCCCAGCUUGACAGCAUGGUGUGUAAGCGGAAGAAUGGAAUCAGGACCUGUAUUCCAGCCACUGAAGCAAUGGGAUAUCCCACAACAAUGUCAGCAAGAGCUGUACUUGGGGCACCUACACA